rnacentral:rRNA from 1 species
UACGUAGGGGGCAAGCGUUGUCCGGAGUUACUGGGCGUAAAGCGCACGCAGGCGGUCUUUUAAGUUUGGUGUGACAGUUGGUGGCUUAACUGCCAAAGUGCUUCGAAAACUGACAGACUUGAGGGCUUCAGAGGGACACGGAAUUCCGGGUGGAGUGGUGAAAUGCGUAGAGAUCCGGAGGAACACCAAAGGCGAAGGCAGUGUCCUGGGGAGUACCUGACGCUCAGGUG